rnacentral:pre_miRNA from 1 species
GGGGGGAGGCUGGAUCCUUGGCUGUGUCCCGGCGCCCAGUGUUCCCCGGCCUGCGCUGUUGGAUUCGCGCUCCUGGCCUCGUAGCCACCU